rnacentral:tRNA from 1 species
UGGCUUAGAUGGUAAAGAAUCUGCUUGCAAUGCAGGAGACUUGGGUUCAACCCCCAG